rnacentral:rRNA from 1 species
AUUGAACGCUGGCGGCAUGCCUUGCACAUGCAAGUCGAACGGUAACGGGCCUUCGGGUGCCGACGAGUGGCGAACGGGUGAGUAAUACAUCGGAACGUGCCCGAUCGUGGGGGAUAACGAGGCGAAAGCUUUGCUAAUACCGCAUACGAUCUACGGAUGAAAGCAGGGGACCGCAAGGCCUUGCGCGGACGGAGCGGCCGAUGGCAGAUUAGGUAGUUGGUGGGAUAAAAGCUUACCAAGCCGACGAUCUGUAGCUGGUCUGAGAGGAUGAUCAGCCACACUGGGACUGAGACACGGCCCAGACUCCUACGGGAGGCAGCAGUGGGGAAUUUUGGACAAUGGGCGCAAGCCUGAUCCAGCCAUGCCGCGUGCAGGAUGAAGGCCUUCGGGUUGUAAACUGCUUUUGUACGGAACGAAAAGCCUUCUUUUAAUACAGGAGGGUCAUGACGGUAACGUAAGAAUAAGCACCGGCUAACUACGUG